CCAGAAGUGGAUUGCAUGUCUGGCAAAAAUGAUGAUCGACUGAAAUCGCAGGCCGUGCAAUAACCUUUCUUUUUGCAGUCGGCAAACCAAAGGAGACCGAAGGCUGGAGCAGCCAGACACUAACUGGAACUGCUACGGUCUUAAUUGAAAAAUUUAGCCAAACUUCGAUACAUACAAGCACAGUGUACGCUCGAUAGAUGAACCACAGGGCCCAUCUGCAUAUGCUCGUGGUGAAUCAGUGCUUGGUUUUCGGGGAUGCACUGUACGGGGAUGUGCCUGUAAUUUUGCACACAGCCAGUCCCAGACCCACCUCUGGAUCCCAUGCUAGCCAGGAAAAUCCAACUGAAAUUAGUUCAUGAACACAACAAAAGCUCUGCCAACAAAACGAAGGAGAGAUGACGGAGACGGAGACGGUGACGAUGACGAUGUGCCACGUUACAAAAAAAAAAAAA